rnacentral:rRNA from 1 species
UACAGAGGUCCCAAGCGUUGUUCGGAUUCACUGGGCGUAAAGGGUGCGUAGGUGGUGAGGUAAGUCGGAUGUGAAAUCUCCGGGCUCAACCCGGAAAUGGCAUUGGAAACUACCUUGCUUGAGGAUUUGAGGGGGGAUUGGAAUAUUUGGUGUAGCAGUGAAAUGCGUAGAUAUCAAGUGGAACACCAGUGGCGAAGGCGAAUCCCUGGACAGUUACUGACACUGAGGCACGAAGGCCAGGGGAGCAAACGGG